UCCCAAUUUCAAUGCAAUACUGUUGUGGGUAUGCAUUGAUACAAAUGUUGUUACCGUCGUUUCCUUUUCCUUUCCUGUCGCGCCCGCAUCCUCCCAAAACCCCACCCGCCCAGGUACUCGCCGGUGAAGCCUUCGACACCUAAGGGCGGUGGAAGGAAGCGGUCUCCCCCAUUGGAAUUUUGUAAUUUUUGGAAAAUGACUAUUAAUUGAGAAUCAUGAAGAUUUAUGAAAUCUUUGCUUCAGAAGGUGAAUUGUUUUUCUGUCUCCAUAAAUCGUUUUACCCCGAGUUAGUGCACCACGCCCUUGGAUUUUCAGAAUUUUGAGUUGUAAUUUUGAUAGCCUUUAAUUGCUUCUAUUCAAAGUUGAAUCUCAUUUGGUUUAAUUUCGUGAUUGAAGCAGAGUAUUUCCAGCUUGAAUUUUGAAUUGCUACUAGAAAAAUGCCAGGUAAAUUCAAAAUAUUUAACCUUCAAAAGUUUUUUAUAUAAUGGUGUUCAAAACAGGCUAUCUUUAAUUCUUAAUUUUCCUGUUUCAAAUUGUUUAUUUCAAUCUCAGAAAUAGUUAUAGCUCAUGAAGAUGAAAGAGGGAGAAGGACUGAUCUUGAGAUUAUCCCUGAGGUUGACAAAAGACGUUGUAGGAUGAGAUCCUUGAGGAGGAAAGCCAUGACUGGUUCCACAAAAGGCACAAGUUCUCUGACGAAACGCAGUAGAAGUAGGCAAGUGUUGCAUUGCCAUUUUGCCUCGAUGUCGACGGAGGAGUUUCUCGAUGAGGAGGAAGAGAAGCCAGUGAAUGCAUUUCGGCAGGUUUUGAAUGAAAUAAAAAAAUUAAAAUUAAAAUACUUAACGAAGUUAAACAACCGUUAAGGGGGAGAGCUUAAUUGCACCGAAAUUGGGAC
rnacentral:lncRNA from 1 species